rnacentral:lncRNA from 1 species
UUGACUGUAAUUGCCUUGACUCUACUAUCAUGUGAUGCAUAGAGUGUCCAAGGACAACCAUCUGCCCUCAUCCUCUUCCUCUCAUUACUUGGUAUUUUUAUCUCAACUCUAUUCUUCAUACUAUACUUUGUAAAAGCAGAUCUCAGUUUCUCUGUUAUCUCAAAAACCAUUCCUACCUUGAAAACAGGGUUACUCAAGUCUUCUUGCCUGUUGGGUAAUAGCAACUCCUCAUCAUCAUCAGUAGAUAACUCUUCUGUCAUAGCAAAUCCAUCCACCUUCAACCUACUUUCCUUGGCCUUCUUCACCUUUCCAGUAUUAUUGGCACUACCUAUUCCUUCAUCCACCACAUCCUCAUCCACGUGAUCCACAAAUAAAUCAUCAUUACCAUCAUCAAGUUCAUUUUCACUAUCCUAGAAAUCUAAAUCUUCACUAUCUUCCUCGUUACUGUCAGAUUCUCCAAUCGAAUUACUUCUCUGCUCCUUCGCUGGACUUAGAUUCUUAUAAAAGUAUGGUAGCUUCUCUCCAUCUUUCUUCUCCCUGUACUGCACCUUGACAUUGACAGGGCUCACCACCUUUGGAAGCUGUGCAAUUAGGUUCAAUAUGAUAUGAUCCCAAGGAGCAUUGAUAACAAUAUCAUCAUGAUCAAAAUAGACAACCAGGUUCUUAAUCCUACCCACAACUGAACACAUGGCAUUGGUGUCUACAUCACCUUGUAUGACUCUCAGGGCAUCAACCAAUUCCUUUCCUAGUAGGUAGCCAAUAAUACUUCAAAUUUGGUGUCUUUGGGUAUUGUAGCUCCAUGAGCAUGUCAUGUAUCCACUAUGUCGACCAAGUAUCAACUUCACAGUGAUCAUACCAACUAACUUUUCCAUCUACAUAACUCCUCAAAUGCCCAAAACCAACGAAGAAUCCACCAUGGUGAACCUGUACUGUGAACUCAUCAGGAUUGUACCUACGAUCAAGAACAAACCAAUGGAAACAACAAAUUAGACUAAAAUUAAGCUAGCAUUUGACACCAACAGAACCUCAACAGAAUCCUAAAUCCCAUCGAGAUUACCCUAAAUUGGACAAUUCCAACCCAAAACUCGAAUUUUCUCCUAGGUGCAUGCACUAAUUCUAC